rnacentral:rRNA from 1 species
AGCGAACGCUGGCGGCAGGCCUAAUACAUGCAAGUCGAGCGCUCGUAGCAAUACGAGAGCGGCAGACGGGAGAGUAACACGUGGGAACGUACCCUUCAGUUCGGAAUAACUCGGCUAACGCCGAGCUAAUACCGGAUACGUCCGUAAGGAGAAAGAUUUAUUGCCGAAGGAUCGGCCCGCGUCUGAUUGGCUUGUUGGUGAGGUAACGGCUAACCAAGGCGACGAUCAGUAGCUGGUCUGAGAGGAUGAUCAGCCUCACUGGGACUGAGACACGGCCCAGACUCCUACGGGAGGCAGCAGUAGGGAAUAUUGGACAAUGGGCUCAAGCCUGAUCCAGCCAUGCCGCGUGAGUGAUGAAGGCCUUAGGGUUGUAAAGCUCUUUCGGCGGGGAAGAUAAUGACGGUACCCGCAGAAGAAGCCCCGGCUAACUUCGUGCCAGCCGCCGCGGUAAAAC